rnacentral:rRNA from 1 species
CCCGCAACGAGCGCAACCCUUAUCCUUUGUUGCCAGCGGUUAGGCCGGGAACUCAAAGGAGACUGCCAGUGAUAAACUGGAGGAAGGUGGGGAUGACGUCGAGUCAUCAUGGCCCUUACGAGUAGGGCUACACACGUGCUACAAUGGCGCAUACAAAGAGAAGCGACCUCGCGAGAGCAAGCGGACCUCAUAAAGUGCGUCGUAGUCCGGAUUGGAGUCUGCAACUCGACUCCAUGAAGUCGGAAUCGCUAGUAAUCGUAGAUCAGAAUGGUACGGUGAAUACGUU